rnacentral:lncRNA from 1 species
UCUGAAAUGAUUUAUUCACACAACACUAAAAGACCAAGACCUCAAGGCAAGGAUGACAUGUACUGCUCUUAAUGUUCCUACUAGGCACUUUAAUGAAUCAGUCAACAAACAUUGUUUCUUUAACUUCUAUCUUGCAGUGUGCUAGAAACCAUUAGUGACUUACUGCAGAGAAACAGGUAUAUCGGGCAAAUAAAGAUGGAUGAGAUAAGUGAGAAGAGAGUCAAUCUGCCUGGAGUUGCAGGUCACCAGUGGUGGCCACUACAGGAUAAAGCCACUGAGAAUCAGGAGAGCUAGUUACAGGCCACAAGCUUCAUUAGGUCCCAGGAGCAAAACGCAACUAGGAAGAUCUGAGGUUGGGGAAGGUACUCUCAACAAUAUUUCCAAUGGCCAAAGAGGGUUCAAGGAGAGCUCAUUGGGGUAUUAAAAGAGUAACUGUUAUGUUCUGGUUUUGG